rnacentral:rRNA from 1 species
GUACAAUUUAAAUCCCUUAACAAGUAACAAUUAGAGGGCAAGUCUGGUGCCAGCAGCCGCGGUAAUUCCAGCUCUAAUAGCGUAUAUUAAUAUUGUUGCAGUUAAAAAGCUCGUAGUUGAAAUUUGGAACUUUAUUAUAUUGGUUUACCUUUUGGUGAACUAUAUGAUGGGUUUCUUCCUACUAGAGUUCGAUUCUGUUCUUAACUGAAUGGAGUAGCUAUCUCUCGGGGUAGUCAAUUGGUUAUUAUAUCUCCACUAAUGAGCAGAGAGGAGUAAAAAUCUUCAAAGUAAGUUAUGUGGGUCAAGGUAUGAUGAUUAAAUUGGGAGUUCUAGUUCAUUUACUUUGAGAAAAUUAGAGUGUUUAAAAGCAGCCUCUUGGGGCACUGAAUACAUUAGCAUGGGAUAAUAAAAAUAGGAUCUUCACAAUAUAUUUAUUGGUUUAAAUUAGUCGUAUGAAGAUAA